UAAUAAUUUUAUUUUUGUUAAAGAAUUUAAUUAAAUAAAAUUUUACAUAUAAAAAUUUUUGUUUUAUAAAAAAUUUUGAAUAGAUUGUUUUAUAUUUAUAAGUUAAAAAGUAGUAGUAAUUAAUUUUAUUAUUUUAAUUUAAGUUAAAAUGUAGUUAUUAUUUUUAUAGUAUUGAUUAAAUUUGUGCCAGCAUUCGCGGUUAUACAAAUAUUAUGAUUAAAUUUAUUUAGUUUAAGUUAAAAUAAAAUUGAUAAAUUUUAAAAUAAAAAUAAAUUUUUAAGUGAAAUUUAAAAUUAUAUUAUUUUUUUAAAAAAAUUAAAAAUUUUGAAUCUUAAAAAAUUUAAAUAAAAACUAGGAUUAGAUACCCUAUUAUUUAAAAAGUAAUAAAAAAGAAAAAAUUAAGGUAGUAAAAAUUAAUUUUUUUAAACUUAAAAAAUUUGGCGGUAUUUUAUUCUGUUUAGAGGAAUUUGUUCUAUAAUCGAUAAUCCACGAAUAUUUUACUUUUUUUUGUAUUCAGUUUAUAUAUCGUUGUCAUCAGAAUAUUUUAAAAGAAUUAAUAAUUUUCUAAAUUUUGAAUUAAAAAUUAUGUCAAAUCAAGGUAUAAUUAAUAAAAAAGAAGAAAUGAAUUACAAUAAAGAUUAUUUAAUAAAUGAAUAAUAAAUUUAAAAUAAAAUUUGAAGGUGGAUUUAAAAGUAAAUUAAUUUAUAAAGAUUAAUUGAUUAAAGUUUUAAAAUAUGCACAUAUCGCCCGUCGCUCUCGUUAUAUUUAAAAUGAGAUAAGUCGUAACAUAGUAGAUAUAUUGGAAAAUGUAUCUAGAAAUAC
rnacentral:ncRNA from 1 species